GACGAACGCUGGCGGCGUGCUUAACACAUGCAAGUCGAACGGAAAGGCCCUGCUUUUGUGGGGUGCUCGAGUGGCGAACGGGUGAGUAACACGUGAGUAACCUGCCCUUGACUUUGGGAUAACUUCAGGAAACUGGGGCUAAUACCGGAUAGGAGCUCCUGCUGCAUGGUGGGGGUUGGAAAGUUUCGGCGGUUGGGGAUGGACUCGCGGCUUAUCAGCUUGUUGGUGGGGUAGUGGCUUACCAAGGCUUUGACGGGUAGCCGGCCUGAGAGGGUGACCGGCCACAUUGGGACUGAGAUACGGCCCAGACUCCUACGGGAGGCAGCAGUGGGGAAUAUUGCACAAUGGGCGGAAGCCUGAUGCAGCAACGCCGCGUGCGGGAUGACGGCCUUCGGGUUGUAAACCGCUUUCGCCUGUGACGAAGCGUGAGUGGCAGUAAUGGGUAAAGAAGCACCGGCUAACUACGUG
rnacentral:rRNA from 1 species